rnacentral:rRNA from 1 species
CCUACGGGAGGCAGCAGUGAGGAAUAUUGGUCAAUGGCCGGGAGGCUGAACCAGCCAAGUCGCGUGAGGGAAGACGGCCCUACGGGUUGUAAACCUCUUUUGUCAGGGAGCAAGGUGCAGGUCGGGACCUGCUGUGAGAGUACCUGAAGAAAAAGCAUCGGCUAACUCCGUGCCAGCAGCCGCGGUAAUACGGAGGAUGCGAGCGUUAUCCGGAUUUAUUGGGUUUAAAGGGUGCGAAGGCGGAGGCACAAGUCAGCGGUAACAUAGCGGGGCUCAACCCCGCUCCGCCGUUGAAACUGUGUGCCUUGAGUGCGCGAAGGGUAGGCGGAAUGCGUGGUGUAGCGGUGAAAUGCAGAGAUAUCACGCAGAACUCCGAUCGCGAAGGCAGCCUACCGGCGCGCAACUGACGCUCAUGCACGAAAGCGUGGGUAUCGAACAGGAUUAGAUACCCCAGUAGUC